GACUGCGCCCCCUGAUUCCUCCCUGUUUCCUAGUACUACUAGCAUGGUAAGCCUCCUUGGGAGCUUAGGAAAGGAGCUGAACUCUCCAAGGGGGCUUAAGGAUAGUGUAUCUCAAGCCCUCGAUCCGUGUUUGUGAGAGCCUGCGGCGCAGCCUGUCCGCGUGCACACCAGGAACGGCGAGGCCGGGUUCCCCAGCCUCUCUAGAGACGUUGCCAAACAUUAGCUCACAGGGAUUCGGCCCAGAGACCAUGAAACGCGACUUUAAAAGCCCUGAUGAUGAGCAGUGUUUAACCCAGCUCUGAGGUGUUCUAAAA
rnacentral:lncRNA from 1 species